CCUACGGGAGGCAGCAGUGGGGAAUAUUGCACAAUGGGCGCAAGCCUGAUGCAGCCAUGCCGCGUGUGUGAAGAAGGCCUUCGGGUUGUAAAGCACAUUCAGCGGGGAGGAAGGCGUUAAGGUUAAUAACCUUGGCGAUUGACGUUACCCGCAGAAGAAGCACCGGCUAACUCCGUGCCAGCAGCCGCGGUAAUACGGAGGGUGCAAGCGUUAAUCGGAAUUACUGGGCGUAAAGCGCACGCAGGCGGUCUGUCAAGUCGGAUGUGAAAUCCCCGGGCUCAACCAGGGAACUGCAUUCGAAACUGGCAGGCUAGAGUCUUGUAGAGGGGGGUAGAAUUCCAGGUAUAGCGGUGAAAUGCGUAGAGAUCUGGAGGAAUACCGGUGGCGAAGGCGGCCCCCUGGACAAAGACUGACGCUCAGGUGCGAAAGCGUGGGGAGCAAACAGGAUUAGAUACCCGGGUAGUC
rnacentral:rRNA from 1 species